rnacentral:rRNA from 1 species
ACGCUCGACACCUACGAAGGCAGCAGUGGGGAAUAUUGCACAAUGGGGGAAACCCUGAUGCAGCGACGCCGCGUGAGCGAAGAAGUAUUUCGGUAUGUAAAGCUCUAUCAGCAGGGAAGAAACUGACGGUACCUGACUAAGAAGCACCGGCUAAAUACGCGCCAGCAGCCGCGGUAAUCUGAGCGGGCUGGCAAGGC